UCUUUCUUCUCCCCUCUUUCUCUCUCACCGAUCUCUCACUCUCUCUCAUUCUUCUUCGUUCACUGGGGCUCGGCCGGUCAUUGCGUCGCCGGCGAACGACGCUCGCACCGCCGGCUGCACGCCGCCCACCUCACCGCUGUCAGCAGGUCACGCUGCUGCUCGUACUCCCACUGUCCGCUCCCUCUCACGCAGCUGCGUCGUCGACCACCAGGUCCGGCAGCCCCGUCGCUUAAUCGGGCUCGCCGGCGUGUGAGCCCAGCUGCCGUCGUGGGGUGGGGCAGCGGGGUCAUUCCGGAUGUGAUGUUGCAGCCGCCGGAGCUUCGCUGGCAGCUGGUGCGUUGAGGGGCAGCGGCGACAGGGGUUUGGCGUGAAAGGCUGCCACCGUCUGACAGCAGUAGCAGCAGCGUGUGUGCGUGUAUGGCUGCCGAGAGGGCAGCAAGAUGUGCGUGGCUGCCGCAGACAGCAGCAGCGGCACCAUUCGGGCAGCCCGGUGUUCUCCUAAGUUCACUAAAAGCUAAGUUCUACUAUCUCGAGCUCAACGUUAUUUCCAUGGUUAUCAAAAUUCAUAGAUCUUGAUUGCUUAAAAUAUAUAUAUAUAUAUAUAUAUAUAUAUAUAUAUAUACAUAUAUAUAUAUAUAAUCAUGGUUCUUGGCUCUUUGCUUAAGGAAGUUUGUUCAAGAAAUUUUGUUUAUAAGCAUGAAUGCUUUUCCUACGUUCACGGCAUAUAAGAAGAUGGUAUUUGGUAUGUGAAAAUUCUAAGUGUUCAUGUUUGAAUGUGGUAUGAAAAUGGCUAUGUAGCAAAAUAGUUAUUAGGAGGAAUUACCUUGAGGAGAGGAGGAGAAGAAGGAUAGUGAGUAGGAAAUUGAACUUCUCUUCUUCAAACACUUAUAUGCAUCCUCAUUUUGAUAAAAUUUUGGUUAGAGAAUUUUGUGAAGGAACAAAAAGUAGAGGAUCAUAUAGUGUGGUAUUUAUAGGGAAGAAAGGUGCAUGAUUUACAUGGUUAAAACUUGAUCCAUACGUGGAGGUAUAAUGUCCAAAAGUUAUGGACUUUUUUUUUCCACUAAAAACAAAAAUUCACGUCUUUUCGUUUUGAUGCGACGAGUAAUAAAUGCGGCCUUAGGAAAACGUGCUUGAUGUGAUGCGGUUCUUAUCCACUUGUCGUCUUGAUUUAAUGUCGAAAGUGUAUUUGAUACGUGGUCUAUCCUUUCGUGUAGGUAUCGGGAGUGCAAAAAGUGGUGAUCGAGCAAGACCCGGAGGACAGAAGACGGGUUGUCCCGGUGCUGCCCGGCACUCGGUACGGCUGUCCGGCGCGAGUCCAUCCCGGCACGACUCUUGUGAUAUCCGAAAUCAUUUUCUUAUUCUAAUCUAGCAUCGAACUCGUUGUAAAAAAAACGCUUUUGGACUUUUGCUGGAUGUAUAAGACAUUAAAACUUUGAUUA